CAGUAGCCGCGGUAAUACGUAGGUCCCGAGCGUUGUCCGGAUUUAUUGGGCGUAAAGCGAGCGCAGGCGGUUAGAUAAGUCUGAGGUUAAAGGCUGUGGCUUAACCAUAGUACGCUUUGGAAACUGUUUAACUUGAGUGCAAGAGGGGAGAGUGGAAUUCCAUGUGUAGCGGUGAAAUGCGUAGAUAUAUGGAGGAACACCGGUGGCGAAAGCGGCUCUCUGGCUUGUAACUGACGCUGAGGCUCGAAAGCGUGGGGAGCAAACAGGAUUAGAUACCCCUGUAGUCCCUGUCUCUUAUACA
rnacentral:rRNA from 1 species